rnacentral:rRNA from 1 species
GCCAUGCAUGUCUAAGUAUAAACUACUUUAUACUCGUGAAACUGCGAAUGGCUCAUUAAAACAGUUAUAGUUUAUUUGGGAACUUUACUACUUGGAUAACCGUAGUAAUUCUAGAGCUAAUACAUGCCUCAACGCCCGACUUUUGAAGGGUGGUAUUUAUUGGAUAAAAAACCAUCGUGUUCCUUCGGGAACGCUUUGAGAUGAUUCACAAUAACUUGUCGGAUCGCAAGGCCUUGUGCCGGCGACUGCCCAUUCAAAUUUCUGCCCUAUCAACUUUCGAUGGUAGAGUAUUGGUCUACCAUGGUGUCGACGGGUGACGGGGAAUUAGGGUUCGAUUCCGGAGAGGGAGCCUGAGAAACGGCUACCACAUCCAAGGAAGGCAGCAGGCGCGCAAAUUACCCAAUCCCGACUCGGGGAGGUAGUGACAAGAAAUAACAAUAGGGGGCCCUUUGGGCCUUCUAAUUGGAAUGAGAACAAUUUAAAUCCCUUAUCGAGGAUCCAUUGGAGGGCAAGUCUGGUGAACGCACACACAUACACAAAGCCCGCCUGAAAAAAAAACGGCGCCAGAUGUCUUCUCCCCUGGCUGGACUAGGAACAGAACGGGACGGGGAGGGGGCAAAAGGUGGGAAACCGUCUGUCUCUUUUCGUGAAGAGACGAGAGCCCCCACCAUACACUUUGAAAUUGUCGGGGAGUGCCUGUUAGGCCUUUUGACUACCGCGGUCCGCCGAGAGGUGAGGGCGAGCAAUCGCCCAGGACGCAGCAGUGCAUGUAACGGUGCAUGGAAGGUAAAAACGUCAAAGGAUAGGGUUGAUCCGCAGGGAAGCGCGAGUGCAGUGUUUUUGUAUUGACACUGCAAAGGCGAACCUUCAGAGACUCUAAUAAAGUGGGCGCAAGCUUAAGGGAGAGUCCAAUCCACUGGGAAACCAGGUCCACAGGAGUAAUGGGGUCGAUGGCUCGCCCCAGAGGACUGUGGAAGGCACCACCCUCCAGGUGAUGUCGGGUUAUGCAUGGCCAGCAGCCGCGGUAAUUCCAGCUCCAAUAGCGUAUAUUAAAGUUGUUGCAGUUAAAACGCUCGUAGUCGAACCUCGGGGCGCGCCCACGGGCCGGGCUUCUGCCUUGUUGCCAGUGGGGGUUUGUCCCCUUUUGUCGGAACGUGGUGUGUUCGGGGCUUCACUGUCUCAGCACGCAAAGCUGCGGGCCGACCGUUUACUGUGAAGAAAGUAAGGUGUUCAAAGCAGGCCAUUGCCUUGAAUAUGUGAGCAUGGAAUAAUAGAAUAGGACUUGGGCUCUAUUUUGUUGGUUUCCAGUGACCAAGUAAUGAUUAAUAGGGAUGGUUGGGGGCAUUCGUAUUUCAUUGUCAGAGGUGAAAUUCUUGGAUUGAUGGAAGACGCACUACUGCGAAAGCAUCUGCCAUGGAUGUUUUCAUUGAUCAAGAACGAAAGUUAGGGGAUCGAAGACGAUCAGAUACCGUCGUAGUCUUAACCAUAAACGAUGCCGACUGGGGAUUGGCGGGGGCAAUAUUUUAUGACUUCGUCAGCACCCUGAG